rnacentral:rRNA from 1 species
UACAGAGGGGGCAAGCGUUGUUCGGAAUUACUGGGCGUAAAGGGCGCGUAGGCGGCCCGCUAAGUCGAACGUGAAAUCCCCGGGCUCAACCCGGGAACUGCGUCCGAUACUGGCAGGCUUGAAUUCGGGAGAGGGAUGCGGAAUUCCAGGUGUAGCGGUGAAAUGCGUAGAGAUGUGGAGGAACACCGAUGGCGAAGGCAGCCUUCUGG